UCCGGUUUGACACCGGCAGUCUCGCUAGAGUCCAGCCUUGCGGCGUAGCAACUAGCGACAGGGGUUUCGCUCGUUAAGGGACUUAACCCGACACUUCACAGCACGAGCUGACGACAGCCAUGCAGCACCUGUGCACGUUCCGCUCUUGCGAGUGUUAUCCCGGUUUCCCGGGACUAAUCCGUGUAUGUCAAGCCCUGGAUAAGGUUCUUCGCGUUGCUUCGAAUUGAGCCACAUGUUCCACCGCUUGUGUGAGUCCCCGUCAAUUCCUUUGAGUUUUAGCCUUGCGACCGUACUCCCCAGGCGGUACACUAAAUACUUUCGCUUCGACCCGGAUGGCGUCAGAGCCUCCCGGAUCUAGUGUACAUCGUUUAGGGCAUGGACUAC
rnacentral:misc_RNA from 1 species